rnacentral:rRNA from 1 species
AGCAGCCGCGGUAAUUCCAGCUCCAAUAGCGUAUAUUAAAGUUGUUGCAGUUAAAAAGCUCGUAGUUGAAUUUCGGGGUUAGCAGGUCGGUUCGUUGCCAUCGGUAUGAACUGGUCUCGCUGAUCCCUCCCUCUUGACGAACUGUGAUGCCAUUAAUUUGGUGUCGCAGGGAAUCAGGACUGUUACUUUGAAAAAAUUAGAGUGUUUAAAGCAGGCUCACGCUUGAAUACAUUAGCAUGGAAUAAUGAAAUAGGACGUUUGAUCCUAUUUUGUUGGUUUCUAGGAUUGACGUAAUGAUUAAUAGGGAUAGUUGGGGGCAUUAGUAUUCAAUUGUUCAGAGGUGAAAUUCUUGGAUUUAUUGAAGACUAACUACUGCGAAAGCAUUUGCCAAGGAUGUUUUCAUUAAUCAAGAACGAAAGUUAGGGGAUCGAAGACGAUCAGAUACCGUCG